UGAAGAGGAAGAGAAAAGCCAAGAGAGGUACAUUAUCUUAUGUUUGUUCUCCAGAAGCACCUGUCUGGGGUACAACAGCGCUUUGUUCCUGCUUAGAGAUUCAGGUUUGAGGGAAUGUUUUCUUAUUGGGACUUCCGUUCCUCUUGUCUAAUGAAGGUGAGACACAUUGUGAAGAUGAUGUGUAUUGCCUUUCGGAAUUGGAGAAUAUACUGGUCGCACCAUUUUAAUAGCACUUGUGCCCUAAACAGUGGCCUCAAAGAAGGCUGCGCCACCCAGUCAAAAGAAAGGUCCUGCAGUUGACAGCAGGGAAGGGAGCUGGAGAAAAAUGGAGGAAGUGGACAAGAGGAAACAGCGACAGCAAAAAUUCCAUUUUAAAAAAGGGAAGAAACUGAAAGCAAAUGUGACUCUGAAGGAGAGGAAGAUGAGGAAGACAUGGAACCCUGCCUAACAGGAACCAAAGUGAAAGUAAAAUAUGGACGAGGGAAGACUCAGAAAAUUUAUGAAGCCAGUAUUAAAAGCACUGAAAUUGAUGACGGAGAAGUUUUAUAUUUGGUACAUUACUAUGGAUGGAAUGUCAGGUAUGAUGAGUGGGUGAAGGCUGACAGGAUAAUCUGGCCUU
rnacentral:lncRNA from 1 species